CACAUUCCUUGUACAAGAUUACAGAACUGGCAGAGCACUUUGGCCUGAAUGUUGAUAAAACACAGCUUGAGUGGAGUCAGGUCAAGGAACUCUUUGCUGAGGAAGUUGACACCUGUUCACCAUCCAAUAUCCUGAAGACUCUGACAAGCCUCAAGCCCCAACUGGGAGACCUCUAC